GCCUGAGUAGCUCAGUCGGUUGAGCAUCUGACUUCGGCUCAGGUCAUGAUCUCACAGUCUGUGAGUUUGAGCCCCACAUAGGGCU
rnacentral:tRNA from 1 species